UGCCCUAGUAACGGCGAGUGAAGCGGCAACAGCUCAAAUUUGAAAUCUGGCUUCGGCCCGAGUUGUAAUUUGCAGAGGAUGUUUCUGGCGCGGUGCCUUCCGAGUUCCCUGGAACGGGACGCCACAGAGGGUGAGAGCCCCGUAUGGUUGGACACCAAGCCUGUGUGAAACUCCUUCGACGAGUCGAGUAGUUUGGGAAUGCUGCUCAAAAUGGGAGGUAAAUCUCUUCUAAAGCUAAAUACCGGCCAGAGACCGAUAGCGCACAAGUAGAGUGAUCGAAAGAUGAAAAGCACCUUGAAAAGGGGGUUAAACAGUACGUGAAAUUGUUGAAAGGGAAGCGCUUGUGACCAGACUUGCGCCGGGCGGUUCAUCCGGGGUUCUCCCCGGUGCACUCCGCCCGGCUCAGGCCAGCAUCGGUUUUCGUUGGGGGAUAAGAACGGCAGGAACGUGGCCCUCCUUCGGGUGGGUGUUAUAGCCUGCCGUACGAUACCCUGACGGGGACCGAGGUUCGCGCUCCGCAAGGAUGCUGGCGUAAUGGUCAUCAGCGACCCGUCUUGAAACACGGACCAAGGAGUCGUCCAUUAGAGCGAGCGUUUGGGUGUCAAACCCGCACGCGUAAUGAAAGUGAAAUUAGGUGAGAGCUUCGGCGCAUCAUCGACCGAUCCUGAUGUUCUCGGAUGGAUUUGAGUAAGAGUUUUAACGGACGGACCCGAAAGACAGUGAACUAUGCUUGUAUAGGGUGAAGCCAGAGGAAACUCUGGUGGAGGCUCGCAGCGGUUCUGACGUGCAAAUCGAUCGUCAAAUAUGAGCAUGGGGGCGAAAGACUAAUCGAACUGUCUAGUAGCUGGUUACCGCCGAAGUUUCCCUCAGGAUAGCAGUGUUGACCUUCAGUUUUAUGAGGUAAAGCGAAUGAUUAGGGACUCGGGGGCGCUUUUUAGCCUUCAUCCAUUCUCAAACUUUAAAUAUGUAAGAAGCCCUUGUUACUUAGUUGAACG
rnacentral:rRNA from 1 species